AGCGAACGCUGGCGGCAGGCCUAACACAUGCAAGUCGAACGAAGUCUUCGGACAUAGUGGCGGACGGGUGAGUAACACGUGGGAACGUACCUUUUGGUUCGGAACAACUCAGGGAAACUUGAGCUAAUACCGAAUGUGCCCUUAGGGGGAAAGAUUUAUCGCCAUUAGAGCGGCCCGCGUUAGAUUAGCUAGUUGGUGAGGUAAAGGCUCACCAAGGCUACGAUCUAUAGCUGGUCUGAGAGGAUGAUCAGCCACACUGGGACUGAGACACGGCCCAGACUCCUACGGGAGGCAGCAGUGGGGAAUCUUGCGCAAUGGGCGAAAGCCUGACGCAGCCACGCCGCGUGAAUGAUGAAGGUCUUAGGAUUGUAAAAUUCUUUUAGCUGGGACGAUAAUGACGGUACCUGCAGAAAAAGCCCCGGCUAACUUCGUGCCAGCCGCCGCGGUAAUAC
rnacentral:rRNA from 1 species